rnacentral:rRNA from 1 species
AGAGUUUGAUCCUGGCUCAGAACGAACUCUGGCGGCAUGGAUUAGGCAUGCAAGUCGAACGGUGCAGCAAUGCACAGUGGCGCAAGGGUGAGGAACGCGUGAGUGACCUGCCUUCAAGUUUGGAAUAGCUCCUGGAAACGGGAAUUAAUACCGGAUGUGAUCGGUUUUCUGCAUGGAGAAUUGAUUAAAGCAGCAAUGCGCUUGAAGAGGGGCUCGCGUCCCAUUAGUUAGUUGGUGAGGUAACGGCCCACCAAGUCGACGAUCGGUAGCCGACCUGAGAGGGUGAUCGGCCACAUUGGAACUGAGACACGGUCCAGACUCCUACGGGAGGCAGCAGUGGGGAAUAUUGGGCAAUGGGCGCAAGCCUGACCCAGCAACGCCGCGUGAAGGAAGAAGGUUUUCGGAUUGUAAACUUCUGUCCUUGGUGACGAACACAAUGACGGUAGCCAAGGAGGAAGCCCCGGCUAACUACGUGCCAGCAGCCGCGGUAAUACGUAGGGGGCAAGCGUUGUCCGGAAUGACUGGGCGUAAAGGGCGUGUAGGCGGCUCUAUAAGUCCGGAGUGAAAGUCCUGCUUUUAAGGUGGGAAUUGCUUUGGAGACUGUAGAGCUUGAGUGCGGAAGAGGUAAGUGGAAUUCCCAGUGUAGCGGUGAAAUGCGUAGAGAUUGGGAGGAACACCAGUGGCGAAGGCGACUUACUGGGCCGUAACUGACGCUGAGGCGCGAAACCGUGGGGAGCGAACAGGAUUAGAUACCCUGGUAGUCCACGCAAUAAACGAUGAAUGUUAGGUGUAGGGGGUAUCGACCCCUCCUGUGCCGGAGUAAACACAAUAAACAUUCCGCCUGGGGAGUACGGCCGCAAGGUUGAAACUCAAAGGAAUUGACGGGGGCCCGCACAAGCAGCGGAGCAUGUUGUUUAAUUCGAAGCAACGCGAAGAACCUUACCAGGUCUUGACAUCGAGGAAAAGCUACAGAGAUGUAGUGUGAGCUUGCUCAUCCGAAGACAGGUGGUGCAUGGUUGUCGUCAGCUCGUGUCGUGAGAUGUUGGGUUAAGUCCCGCAACGAGCGCAACCCUUAUGGUCAGUUACUAACGCGUAGCGGCGAGGACUCUGACAAGACUGCCGGGGACAACUCGGAGGAAGGUGGGGACGACGUCAAAUCAUCAUGCCCCUUAUGACCUGGGCUACAAACGUGCUACAAUGGUGGUUACAAAGAGCAGCGAGCCUGUGAAGGUAAGCGAAUCUCAAAAAAGCCAUCUCAGUUCGGACUGUGGGCUGCAACCCGCCCACACGAAGUUGGAGUUGCUAGUAAUCGCGGAUCAGAAUGCCGCGGUGAAUACGUUCCCGGGCCUUGCACUCAAGGCCCGUCA